GAUGAACGCUGGCGGCGUGCCUAACACAUGCAAGUCGAGCGAAGCGGGGAUGGGUGAGGAACACGUGGAUAACCUCCUAUAAGACUGGGAUAAGUUAGGGAAAGCGGAGCUAAAUAGGACACUUAUAGUUGGAUCCUGGCUGCAUAAGCUAGUUGGUAAGGGAACGGCUUACCAGGGUAACGAUGCAAUGCCGACCUGAGAGAGUGAUCGGCCGACCUGGAACUGAGACACGGUCCAGACUCCUACGGGAGGAAGCGGUGGGGAAUCGUCCGACAUUGGCGAAAGCCUGACGGAGCGACGCCGCGUGAGUGAUGAAGGUCUUCGGGUCGUAAAGCUCUGUUAUUAGGGAAGCGGUACCUAAUCAGAAAGCCACGGCUAACUACGUGCCAGCAGCCGCGGUAAUUC
rnacentral:rRNA from 1 species